CCAUCCCUUUCACAGAUACGGAGCAAUGACUUUGUGACAUGGUUUAGUUCCAUUCCCCCCUCAGUUCUCAGCUGGGGUCUUUGCCUUUGCUUUCCAGCUUGUCAGCAAUGGAUCCCUGAGGUCUGAAAUAGGACUUUGGGACUGAGUUGUAGUGUCUUGCUUGUUCCCUUGCGGGAGCCCGGGUGAAAGGAGCUGGAGGAGAGGAAGCACUGUUGUAUCCUGAGCUUCUUUACCAACGUCAGAGAGGGAAACAAAUAACGUGGGUGAGAGGGAGAUUGUUCAGCGGAUUGAAUAAUGAUGGAGAUAAAGAUGGAUAAACAGA